rnacentral:rRNA from 1 species
UACGUAGGGGUCGAGCGUUGUCCGGAGUUACUGGGCGUAAAGCGUGCGCAGGCGGCUCUCUGCGCCCGGCGUGAAAGCCCCCGGCUCAACCGGGGAGGGUCGUCGGGGACGGGAGAGCUUGAGGGUAUCAGGGGCUGGUGGAAUUCCCGGUGUAGUGGUGAAAUGCGUAGAGAUCGGGAGGAACACCCGUGGCGAAGGCGGCCAGCUGGGAUACACCUGACGCCGAGGCACGAAGGCGUGGGGAGCGAACGGG